rnacentral:rRNA from 1 species
AGCGGCGGAUGGGUGAGUAACACGUGGGGAACCUGCCCCUAAGUCUGGGAUACCAUUUGGAAACAGGUGCUAAUACCGGAUAAUAAAGCAGAUCGCAUGAUCAGCUUUUGAAAGGCGGCGUAAGCUGUCGCUAAGGGAUGGCCCCGCGGUGCAUUAGCUAGUUGGUAAGGUAACGGCUUACCAAGGCGACGAUGCAUAGCCGAGUUGAGAGACUGAUCGGCCACAUUGGGACUGAGACACGGCCCAAACUCCUACGGGAGGCAGCAGUAGGGAAUCUUCCACAAUGGACGCAAGUCUGAUGGAGCAACGCCGCGUGAGUGAAGAAGGUUUUCGGAUCGUAAAGCUCUGUUGUUGGUGAGGAAGGAUAGAGGUAGUAACUGGCCUUUAUUUGACGGUAAUCAACCAGAAAGUCACGGCUAACUACGUGCCAGCAGCCGCGGUAAUACGUAGGUGGCAAGCGUUGUCCGGAUUUAUUGGGCGUAAAGCGAGCGCAGGCGGAAAAAUAAGUCUAAUGUGAAAGCCCUCGGCUUAACCGAGGAACUGCAUCGGAAACUGUUUUUCCUGAGUGCAGAAGAGGAGGGUGGAACUCCAUGUGUAGCGGUGGAAUGCGUAGAUAUAUGGAAGAACACCAGUGGCGAAAGGCGGCUCUCUGGUCUGCAACUGACGCUGAGGCUCGAAAGCAUGGGUAGCGAACAGGAUUAGAUACCCUGGUAGUCCAUGCCGUAAACGAUGAGUGCUAAGUGU